rnacentral:tRNA from 2 species
GCCCCCGUAGCUCAGCUGGAUAGAGCGGGCGCCUCCUAAGCGCCAGGCCAGAGGUUCGAAUCCUCUCGGGGGCA